rnacentral:rRNA from 1 species
CCUACGGGAGGCAGCAGUGGGGAAUAUUGCACAAUGGGGGAAACCCUGAUGCAGCGACGCCGCGUGAGUGAAGAAGUAUUUCGGUAUGUAAAGCUCUAUCAGCAGGGAAGAAGAACGACUGUACCUGACUAAGAAGCCCCGGCUAACUACGUGCCAGCAGCCGCGGUAAUACGUAGGGGGCAAGCGUUAUCCGGAUUUACUGGGUGUAAAGGGAGCGUAGACGGCUGUGCAAGUCUGAAGUGAAAUCCCGGCGCCCAACGUGGGAACUGCCUUUGAAACUGGCAAACUGGAGUGUGUGAGAGGAUAGUGGAAUUCCAGGUGUAGGAGUGAAAUCCGUAGAUAUCUGGAGGAACAUCAGUGGCGAAGGCGACUAUCUGGCACAUAACUGACGCUGAGGAGCGAAAGCGUGGGUAGCAAACAGGAUUAGAUACCCCAGUAGUC